rnacentral:rRNA from 1 species
GACGAACGCUGGCGGCGUGCCUAAUACAUGCAAGUAGAACGCUGAAGGAGGACCUUGCUCUUCUGGAUGAGUUGCGAACGGGUGAGUAACGCGUAGGUAACCUGCCUGGUAGCGGGGGAUAACUAUUGGAAACGAUAGCUAAUACCGCAUAAGAGCAGAUGUUGCAUGACAUUUGCUUAAAAGGUGCAAUUGCAUCACUACCAGAUGGACCUGCGUUGUAUUAGCUUGUUGGUGGGGUAACGGCUCACCAAGGCGACGAUGCAUAGCCGACCUGAGAGGGGGGGCGGCCGCACUGAGACUGUGACACGGCACAGACUCCUACGGGAGGCAGCAGUAGGGAAUCUUCGGGAAUGGGCGGAAGUCUGAGCGAGCAACGCCGCGUGAGUGAAGAAGGUUGUCGGAUCGUAAAGCUCGGUUGUAAGAGAAGAACGAGUGUGAGAGUGGAAAGUUCACACUGUGACGGUAUCUUACCAGAAAGGAACGGCUAACUACGUG